ensembl:miRNA MIR16-2 microRNA 16-2
CAUACUUGUUCCACUCUAGCAGCACGUAAAUAUUGGCGUAGUAAAAUAUAUAUUAAACACCAAUAUUAUUGUGCUGCUUUAGUGUGACAAGGACA